GGAGACGUAGCGAAGUGGCCGUAACGCGCCUGACUCGAAAUCAGGUUGUCCUCCGGGGCACGAGGGUUCAAAUCCCUCCGUCUCCGCUA
rnacentral:tRNA from 2 species